CAUACAAGCAUGAUAUCCAAAAGCCGGCGGAAACACAUUACUAUCUCCGAAAGCAUAACCCACAAACGAGAUUCUCAAACCCAAACAAAGGGUAAGACAUACAACUACAGCAAACACAAAAUGAGACUGCACUCUUACCACCAAAACCGAAGUCAGUCCUUGAGAAGGAUGAUAGAAAUAAGUCGUCCAAUCAUUAAAUAGCCGGCACUUUUGCCAAGAACCAACCAAGCACAAGAGAGAGUAGGUGGAGUAGUGGCCAACACAACAACACCGGACCAAACAUACCUGAACCAUCCGUUCACGGUACCAAGCCAAAACCAAUACGCCUAACGAGAAACUCCAAAUGUAGAAGAGCCAAACACCCCCAAACUAAAGCCCCCUCCUCAAGCGAACCUUCAUCGGAUAGCCUAAACCCUCAACUUCAUUAUACUGAUUUAUCGAAGCCCCCAAAGAAUGAGAGAAUCAUGAGUCCGAAAACCACACUUAUUAUAAGGCUGCGAGAAAGAUUCCUUCAUGCCUGAGAGAUGGAGAGGUGAGAAGAACCCUGCAACUUCUGAAGAAUAAAUUAUUUUGGGUUAAUGACUCACUCAUUCUCUACUUUAAAGUUAUUUUGUUUCAAGAUAUAUAAAUUCUUUUGGGUUAAUGACUCACUCAAGCUGACGGAAAUUUAGUCACGUUACUUUUGGAAAAUAUGUCAAAAUUUUUUUUUUUUUUCCAUCCCAAAAUGAAUAAGUAAUGAAAUGGAUGCAAUGAAAAAACAAGAUCUUUUUCUUCACAGAUAAAAAUGAAAAAACAAGAUCUUUUGAGUCCUUAAUGAGUACUUCGGAUUACUUCUAUCCGUUACUUCUCACACUUUCACUGAAAUCCUAAUAUUCAAGAAUUCACAGUACGAAAAUAGAGAACGUAUUGGUUUUAUCGAUGCGCAAAAAUAUUUAUAAGAUUACAAGAUCGGCAACGAAAAUAUCCUAAAUUUUUUUUUUUUUUUUGAAAAUAUCCUGAAUUAAGAAGCGAAUAAUACCACAAUAUUCACAACGAUGAAUGUGAUCAGAAAAAAAUAUAUUCCCUACGUGAUCAGAAAAAAUAUAUUCCCUAUAUAUUAUUUGUGAAACAUUUUUAAGUUGUAACUUAAAGGAUCAGUGUUGACGUGUCGUCACCUCAGACCGUCUCAAAGUCAUUUUUUUAAUGGACUAACGUAACUAGAAAAAUGGCACGGAUGUCAUAAAGAAACAUUAGGGGAUUAAUGUAUUAGUGUAUAUUAGAAGUCAUACAUGUAUAACUCUGAGAAGCCCUUAAGUGAUUAUUAAGGCCCAUUGACGUAAAGAUAAGCUAGGUAGCUAAACCAUUCUUUUCGAAAAUUUGUAAAGAAAUAGGGGACAUAGUAACCACAAUUUCAUAACCGAUAAACUGCACUAAGAAAAAAACAAUAAAAUACUAAACCGAUGAAAACUCCAUUCGUUAUAUUCCUGUUCUUAAUCAAAAACAAUAAACCUGGAAUAAAGAAUGAAUAUAUGUUUAGUGCACUGUAACUGUAACGACCCGGAUUUUUCUGGUGGGCCAGUUUGGCCUUUAUUAAAAAUUAAAGUCUAAUUCUCUCUUUUUACUUUGUCCCACAUUGGAUGUUUAGAAAACCUACCUCCCUUCCCUUCUCCUAUAUAAAAAACUCCAUCAUUUCUCUUUAUUCUCAUCAAGUCAAAGUAUUUCUUUGCGUGUGACGAGUUGUUGUUGAAUUAUUCGACGACCAGUCACUAGUGAAUUUUCCGGUGGGAUUUCCGGGUGAGCUUCCGGCGAGAUUUCUGGACGAGCUUCCGGUGAGAUUUCUAGACGAGCUUCCGGCGGGUUUUCUAGUAAGUUUGUUGCCUCCUUAUUUCUAGUUAUAGGAAUAUUUUAGGAAAGUUUCUAAUUUAGGAAAUAAGUUAUAUUAAGAAAGUUUCUAUUUUAGGAAAGUUGCCAUUUUAGGAAAGUUGCUAUUUUAGGAAAGUUUCUAUUUUAGGAGAGGUUUCAUUUUAGGAAAGUUUCCAUUUUAGGAAACUUAUUUCCAGAGAAGCUGAGCUUAAGUCGUUGAUUCUCGUGUUGCAGUUGACCUCAGCUGACCGCAUCUUCCGUUGUUCAUUUCAGCCUGUGGCUAAGAUGCCGCCGCGUAAGAGAGUUGUUCGCACUCAGUCCGCUAGUGCUUCACGAGAGGGUGGAGAUGAGAAUGUGCCGCCACCGGUUCCACCGAUUGAUCAGGAUGCCCUUAGGCAGAUGGUGCAGGAUGCUGCCAGACAGGCUGCACAUGAGGCAGUUCAGCAAGCUGUCCAGGAGGCUGCUAGAGUAGCUGCACAGGAAGUGGUUAGGCAGAUGGCUGAGGCUCAGCAGGUUCCGCCAGUUCAGGUUCAGGGGCAUCAGCAGCCCCUUAUUCAGCCGGUUCCACCAGUUCAGGUUCAGGGGCAGCAGCAGCCCCCUAUUCAGCAGGUUCCUGAGGUUGAUGAGACGCUUAUGCAGGUGAUGAAACAGAUGAAAACUGUGGAUUUGGAGACUUUUGGGGGAACAGUAGACCCUUUUCAGGCUUAUAAUUGGAAGCAUAGAUUAGCUACGUGUCUGCAGACUAUCAAUUGUCCGUUGCGCCUUUGCCUUAAUAUCGCAGAGUUGUAUCUGCGUGGGGAUGCAUUAGUAUGGUGGGAUGGAGUGCAAUCGAUGCGUGAUGGCGAUAUGACUUAUGAGGAUUUCCUCAUUGCGUUCGACAAGAAGUAUUUUCCUAGAGAAGCAUUGCACCAGAAGAAGAAUGCUUUUGAGCAUCUGAGGCAGGGUACUAGGAGUGUCAGAGAGUAUGAGCGGGAGUUUUGCCAACUCCGCUUGUUUGCUGGUAAUAAUUUUGAUGCGGAGGACUUGAUCAGGAGAUUCUUAGAUGGGAUGCGAGUUGAUCUUCGCGGCAGGUGCAGUAUGGUUACUUACACAAGCUUGGAGGAUCUGGUAGAGAAGGCUGCUGUGCAGGAGGCAUGUAUUGCAGAGGAGCAGAAGUACUCUAAGGCCCAACCUAAGACUGAAAGAACUUCAGGGUCACCGAACAUGGCAGGGGAUCAGUCAGGAACACCCAGUUGUGAGCGCUGCCAUCGCUACCAUUUUGGAGAUUGCGUCAUGUGUUUUGCAUGUGGGCGGUUAGGCCAUGUGGCCAAGUAUUGUCGAUUUACAAAAGUGGAUGGUACUGGUACCGGACAGGUUACAGCACCAACGACACUAGCAGCGGCUUCAAAGAAGUGUUAUGGAUGUGGCCAGCCUGGUCACAUUUUCCGGGAUUGCCCGAGGGGGGGACGUGUAGAGAAUCCAUUACCAGCUAAGCGCCAGGCUAUCGCACCACGAGUAUUUGCUGCAAGAGGCAACGAGAGAGUUGAGCCGGCUGAUGGUAUGUAUCUUUUCACUUUGGUAGUUUACGUUUGUGCAUGUUGUCUUUUGCGGUUAUCAUGUGUUUAAAAAAAAAAGUUGUGCUUAAGAUCAGUAGCGGCUGAGUAUGAGAGAUUUCACCUUAUUUGAUAUGGGAGGACCACAUAGUUUGGAGUGUCUACAGCGAACAAGCGUCUUUAUAACAAAGUUAAGUCAUGCUGAAGACAUCUUAUUCCUUUUCUCGGCUCAGGAUUUGAAUUCGGGGACGAAUUCCUUCUUAGUGGGGAAGAAUUGUAACGACCCGGAUUUUUCUGGUGGGCCAGUUUGGCCUUUAUUAAAAAUUAAAGUCUAAUUCUCUCUUUUUACUUUGUCCCACAUUGGAUGUUUAGAAAACCUACCUCCCUUCCCUUCUCCUAUAUAAGAAACUCCAUCAUUUCUCUUUAUUCUCAUCAAGUCAAAGUAUUUCUUUGCGUGUGACGAGUUGUUGUUGAAUUAUUCGACGACCAGUCACUAGUGAAUUUUCCGGUGGGAUUUCCGGGUGAGCUUCCGGCGAGAUUUCUGGACGAGCUUCCGGUGAGAUUUCUAGACGAGCUUCCGGCGGGUUUUCUAGUAAGUUUGUUGCCUCCUUAUUUCUAGUUAUAGGAAUAUUUUAGGAAAGAUUCUAAUUUAGGAAAUAAGUUAUAUUAGGAAAGUUUCUAUUUUAGGAAAGUUGCCAUUUUAGGAAAGUUGCUAUUUUAGGAAAGUUUCUAUUUUAGGAGAGGUUUCAUUUUAGGAAAGUUUCCAUUUUAGGAAACUUAUUUCCAGAGAAGCUGAGCUUAAGUCGUUGAUUCUCGUGUUGCAGUUGACCUCAGCUGACCGCAUCUUCCGUUGUUCAUUUCAGCCUGUGGCUAAGGUGAGACUGACGAGCAGGAGUGAUUGCUAUCGGAUUGGUGCUUUGGGAGUUUUAUUUCUUUCUUUUUCAAACUUGCGGAUUUUAUGCUUUUAUCGAUAUUUUCGAGAUUUAUUAUGUUAUUUGGAUUUAUGGCUAUUUAUUGGAUUUACGAUUUUGGAGUUGACUUUUGAGAAGUAAUAAAUGGAGAUUUCAGAAUUUUAUUUGUUUAUUUUAUUUUGGAAAAUACGGGUGUUACAGUAACAUUCUCUUUAGUAGUCAUUUCAUCUUGAUAUUUUAAAGAAUGAAUAACAUAUACAAAUUAAGUGAUACAUUAUGGAUCAUACGAUUUAUUUGAUGUUUUUUUCAGUGUAUUACAAAAGUGUAUUUUCUGUAGGUGCAUGUCUUACAGUCUGUAAAGAACUUAUUAUAUUGUUAUAUAGAAAGUUCUUUACUUGCAUAGCUACAAUAAAGCUCAAAGGCUGUAAACAUUUUAUAUCAUUUUGUUCUUAAUUUGAAAUCGAAUUUUCACAAAAAAAGGAGGUUGCAAUCUAUUGGGCCACUAAUUUGUUUUUUGUUUAAUUGGUUAGGGCUAAUAAUUUCUUCUUCAUUUCAAGAGCCUAUCAUUUCUUAUUUCCACGAGUUCUGGUCCAUAUCGUUUAAUAGUGAUCAGUUUGCACUUUGCACAAGUUUAUAGUUCUUUUCAUCUUAACAAUGUACAAUUUGUUUAUGAUUCAACGUUAUGAAAAAAUAUUAUGAUUAAACAUCAUAUAAUAUACAUGUUUUUUUUUAACAUGAAGGUUUCAUUAAUUUGCAUAGAAAGUAACAAACAUAGAUAAAAACAACAAAUGAACAAUCACCAAAGCUCAAACAAUGCAUAUAAUUAAAUAUUAUAUGUUAGUCAUGUAUUCUUCACACUAUACAAAUAAUUUUUAACUAAAUAGAAUCAUUUACCACAUAUUCUCACUUCGCGCAAGGCGCGGAUCUCUACUUAGUUACGUAUUAUUUUCCAAUCAGGGGAUAUUCUAUGUCAAGCGUGGGAGAGGCAGUUUGCCCACUAUGAACUUUUUUAAGUUAGUGUGAUUUUGUACAAAUUUUUAAUAACGCGCUUGUUAUUUCAAAUUUAUAAAAAGUAUUUAUAUCCCCCCCAUAAGAAAUAUUCCAUAAAACGGCUUUCGUUGUCCUCGUUUCUAUGAAGACAAAGUAUUGCUUUAGCAAUGCAGAUACGAGUUGAGUGAAAUUAUCGAUUGAAUUUACUUCGAGUCAUGUGAACCAUUUUAAGGCAGAUCAGGUCAGAUUUUCAGCAAAUAUACGAUAGUAGCCGGCCUCUUUUUACUCGUCAUUCAGGUGAGCUCUAGGCAUGGUCAGUCGGAAGGCUCGGGCGUCAGCCUCUGGAUCGGUGUUUCCACAGUACUCCGGGAGUUUAUUUUUUUCCUACGUCAUGCAGUCUUAUGCUCGCUACUCUGUUUGUGAAGGGAGUUAUUCACAUCUCCUCUAUUACGCGAUCAAUGUUCGGGACGAGCUCGUCGCCAUGUGCAUAGUGGCGUGUAUUCUUUGUAGCCCGAUGUUGUUUAUUUUGACAUAACUUUGAAAAGCUUCUACAUAGGUAAAAUUUCUUGGAUCGAUUAUUUCCUGGUUCCAAAUAACAAAGUUGUGUGGGAUGUCUUCCUCGGUGGCUUGGGCUUGAUAGAAGACCGGGGUUGCAGGAAUUCUGUUGUCGGAGGUCUAAAAGUUUGGAGGGGUCUUGUUGAUCGCUGUUCGAGUUGCUUCUCAGCUGAAUUAUUCGAGGCACAAAUUGGCGGGUUCUCAUGUUCUUGUCGCCUCCUCUGGACUUCGUCUAGUCCGCUGAAGCUCGCGCUCUGAUGGACCGUUCCAGGUCAUGGUAAUGACCUCGAUGUUCCCUCGACCUUGAAGCAUACAGAUCGGAACCUGGGGAACUCGGGAGUUCCAAAUGCUCCUUGGCUUAAACUUUUCGGCAUGGGGGUUGUAAUUUAUGGGGUUCAAUCAAUGUCUCGAUCAUUCAGGACCCUUGGCUUGAUGUGCCAUGAGUUCCCUCUCGGCUUGUUAUAGUCGAUUGACUAUAGUUUGGUGCACGAUCUCCUGGAUAUGGUACUUAUAAAUGAGGUGGAAAGCAUGCUUCACAGAUCAUGUUUGUUCUGGAGGGAGAGGAGAUAUCGGUCGUGGCUCAUGUGUCCAAUUUUUUGGAUCGUCUCCUGCUGCCCUUUCAUUUGAUCAGCUCCAUACUUGUGAAGCCAAUCGUUCUGGGAUCGUAUAUCUCGGGGCACCAGUGGGUGCUAACGCUCGCUGAGGUUGGCUCCCUCCGGUAGCGGUGGCCUUGUCAGUUUGUUCGGUCUCCGUGGGCAGUUUUUCGUUUAUCAUGUUAGAUCUGGGAGGAUUGACGUCAUUGGUUCAUGGUUCAGCGGAACCGGAUGGGACGAGUACUGAAUCCAUGAUCAUGCCUAGGAAUCUUAGAUCAGAUUCUUAUCAAAGAUUUUUUUCGUUUCUCUUCCUCCACAGACGGCACCAAAAUAUGGAUCCUAAAACUCACACUAGGUAUUUUGUAGUGAUUGUAUAUAAGAGACUAGGGAAGAAGAACUAUGUGGGAAGUGAUAUCCUGAAAACACAACGAUGUAAUCAAGAUGUAAGUUGACAAAAAAAAACAUUUAUAUACUGAGAUCGAAACACUAAAGAGUAUACAAAGAAUGAUUGAAUAUAAGAUAAGCUAAGCUAACAUUGAUGAUAAAAGGAGACUAAGUCGAG